CCUCUCAUGAGGCCGUCCGUCAUCCCGUCAUCUUUCUCGUCAUGACCAUGACACGCGCCGUGCCCGGGCCGUACACAUAACCCCGGUGACGGCGCCCGUUCCCCGCGGACGGGCGCCCGUGUCUCGACCCCCCACCCUCCGCCGCCAUGUGGGUCCGUUCCCGCGACGGGAUCCUCAUGUGGCUCUGGGUGGUGAAGGAAUACACGGCCGGUGAUGACAGCGACGGACGGAACAACGAUGGCGGCGGCCGCGCCGGCUGCCGUCACCGUCGCUGCUGCUACUCCUGCCGAGACGGCCAGAUCUAAGGGGGGAACGGGGUAAUUUAUUAUUGUUUGUACUUCUCGACAGCUUUUUUAUAUCACGAUUCUUUUGAUACCUGCUACACCUAGAUACCUUUUUGAUACGUUUUCUUCGGAUGUCACAAGACACAAAAGAGUUUUGAAGAUGAUCAUGGACUACUACUACAUUACACUACCACGACCGUUACGACCACUGUCGCCGUUACCUCUGACCCGUCGACAGCAGACAGAGAACCGACCCCGAGAAACUUCUCUUCCUGUUCGACACCGCGGUAUCGGACAUUUAAAAAGAAUCAUGCUUUAGAAAUCACUAUUUUUUGUACCAAGAAAACACUAAGCAGCCGAGAGAUGCCAGCAAGAGACGACGACCAUCGCAAACACAGUACAAUCUUAGAAUGAACCAGCGAAACCAUCAUACUUAACAGCAGAAUCUCAUGAACCAGUCAACCAUCGUAACAGAAACAUCAUGAUCUUAGGAACCAGCGAAUAAGACCAUCUUGAUGUAAUAGCAUCAUUAAGUACCUUUAUGAACCAGCAGCAUUUCAGUAUACACCAGAUAUCCUCUUUCUCCUGUUAUGAUAUUUUUGUAAAUUUUUCGAUUCUUUUGUCUCUCCCUGGGGGGCUCAGAACUUCUUCCUAUUAUCCCGUUUGUUGAUGAUACGUAUUUAUCCAGUCUCAGAUUUUUGAAGCAAAAGACUAGCAGCAGCCAAAAUAAACCUGAUGAAAGCUUUAAU
rnacentral:lncRNA from 1 species